UCCCUCUUAGCUCAGUUGGUAGAGCGCGUCACUAGUAUGCUUCAAUGCGCAUGACGAGGUCAGUUGUUCAAAUCAGCUAGCGGGAA